rnacentral:rRNA from 1 species
CAGCAGCCGCGGUAAUACGGAGGGUGCAAGCGUUAAUCGGAAUUACUGGGCGUAAAGCGCACGCAGGCGGUCUGACAAGUCAGAUGUGAAAUCCCCGGGCUUAACCUGGGAACUGCAUUUGAGACUGUCAGGCUGGAGUCUUGUAGAGGGGGGUGGAAUUCCAGGUGUAGCGGUGAAAUGCGUAGAGAUCUGGAGGAAUACCGGUGGCGAAGGCGGCCCCCUGGACAAAGACUGACGCUCAGGUGCGAAAGCGUGGGGAGCAAACAGGAUUAGAUACCCGUGUAGUCCCUGUCUCUUAUAA